UACAGAGGAGCCAAGCGUUGUCCGGAUUGACUGGGCGUAAAGCGCACGCAGGCGGACGCGCGCGUGGGGUGUGAAAUCUGGCCGCUUAACGGCCAGGCGCCAUCCCAUACGGCGCGUCUGGAGUGAUGCAGAGGUCGAUGGAAUUGCCGGUGUAGUGGUGAAAUGCGUAGAGAUCGGCAGGAACACCCAGGGGGAAACCAGUCGACUGGGCAUCUACUGACGCUGAGGAGCGAAAGCGUGGGGAGCGAACAGG
rnacentral:rRNA from 1 species